UUGUCCCUACGGGGGGCAGCAGUGAGGAAUAUUGGUCAAUGGGCGCGAGCCUGAACCAGCCAAGUAGCGUGAAGGAUGACUGCCCUACGGGUUGUAAACUUCUUUUAUAAAGGAAUAAAGUGAGGCACGUGUGCCUUUUUGUAUGUACUUUAUGAAUAAGGAUCGGCUAACUCCGUGCCAGCAGCCGCGGUAAUACGGUGGAUCCGAGCUUUAUCCGGAUUUAUUGGUUUUAAAGGGAGCGUAGAUGGGUUGUUAAGUCAGUUGUGAAAGUUUGCGGCUCAUCCGUAAUCUUGCAAUUGAUACUG
rnacentral:rRNA from 1 species